rnacentral:rRNA from 1 species
AUUGAACGCUGGCGGAAUGCUUUACACAUGCAAGUCGAACGGUAGAGGGGGCAACCCCUUGAGAGUGGCGAACGGGUGAGUAAUAUAUCGGAACGUGCCCAGUCGUGGGGAUAACGUAGCGAAAGUUACGCUAAUACCGCAUACGAUCUAAGGAUGAAAGCGGGGGAUCGCAAGACCUCGCGCGAUUGGAGCGGCCGAUAUCAGAUUAGGUAGUUGGUGGGGUAAAGGCUCACCAAGCCAACGAUCUGUAGCUGGUCUGAGAGGACGACCAGCCACACUGGAACUGAGACACGGCCCAGACUCCUACGGGAGGCAGCAGUGGGGGAAUUUUGGACAAUGGGCGCAAGCCUGAUCCAGCAAUGCCGCGUGCAGGAUGAAGGCCUCGGUUGUAAC